rnacentral:rRNA from 1 species
GACGAACGCUGGCGGCGUGCUUAACACAUGCAAGUCGAGCGGUAAGGCUCCUUCGGGAGUACACGAGCGGCGAACGGGUGAGUAACACGUGAGUAAUCUGCCCCUCACUUUGGGAUAAGCCUCGGAAACGAGGUCUAAUACCGAAUACGACCGCUUCUCGCAUGAGAUGGUGGUGGAAAGUUUUUCGGUGGGGGAUGUGCUCGCGGCCUAUCAGCUUGUUGGUGGGGUAAUGGCCUACCAAGGCUUCGACGGGUAGCCGGCCUGAGAGGGUGACCGGCCACACUGGGACUGGGACACGGCCCAGACUCCUACGGGAGGCAGCAGUGGGGAAUAUUGGACAAUGGGCGGAAGCCUGAUCCAGCAACGCCGCGUGAGGGAUGACGGCCUUCGGGUUGUAAACCUCUUUCAGUAGGAACGAAGCGAAAGUGACGGUACCUACAGAAGAAGCACCGGCCAACUACGUGCCAGCAGCCGCCGUAAUAC